AAUACAAAAUAGAAGUUUUCUUUUUUAAAUAUGUGGUUUUUGAAAAAAUGUCUGAAAUGAUUUCUACCUGGGUCCAUGCAGGCCUCUCAUAAAAAGUGGAUUUUUUUAAAUUCUUGAUCUAGUGAUCAAUUUGCUGUUCAGCUGCUCCUCCAUGUCCAACUCUGCGAGCACACGGACUGCAGGCACAAUUUGUACUAGGCUCAUCAGAAGCAUGGUCGGGGAGGCGUUGCUACAAGAUGCUAUGAGAUAUUCACACGGGCUGGGCAGCCCUGAGUCCCAAACCAGACACACCAGGACAGGAUGCCAGUGGCAGCAAGUCCUCAUCUCUCCGCCAGCUCAUGGAACCAGCUGUUGAAAGCAGAAGCGCGUUUGAAUGAGCUAAACCCCAUGUGCAGGGGGAGCACUGUUUUCAAGAGGAAGCAGCCAGGAGUCUCUACAGAAGUCCGUUGCACUGGAAGA